AGAAAAGGUCUCGUUCUCACGAAGUUAUUGUUUUUUCCCACAGCGGUCAAAUCUUCUCUACUUCAUUCAGAUCUAAGAUUUUUUUCUCUCUCGAUGUCUUUUCCUCUCUAAAAAUUUGGAGGAGAAAAUCAUGACCUUGGCUUUAGAUCAGACGGGCUUAUGAUCGUUGCUUGAUGAAAUAUCAAACGAGUUGGCAGCAGGAGGGAGAAUGUGUUCUGGCAGAACAUUAUGUUUUCCAGCCCAUUACGAGGUUCUUCUGCUGAUUUUUUUCAGUUUGCUACUGGAGAAUCCAUUCUUGCUGCUUGUUGGAAUUUUUCCGCCCAAAGAAACAUACAAAGGAGUGAUCAAAUCUGCUGCCUUAUUAUAUUGCAGCAGAAUGGUUUUUUGCAUUUUCAAAAAUUCUGCAGCAGCAUCUUACUGCACUGCCCAGUUUUUUCAGCUUUUGGAGCCUGGUUUUCUGCUUCAGUUGUGAAUUCCAGGAAAAGUCUUCCCCUAGAGAUUAUUUCUGCCCCAUGCCAGAACCAGCUCUCUGCAUCAGUAGCUUUCUCCCAUAUUCCAGCAGAGUCUUAAUGUUGCAAAUUCCAGAUAGCUGCUUUUUUCCAGUUUUCAAGACUGCAAGUUAUCUGGAAAUUGUGUUGCCCAGUUCUCAAGUCUGCCAAGCAGUUCUGCUCAUGUAUUUAUAGAAAAAAAAAUUAACUUCACUUAUGGUUUUCGUUUCCCAACUCAACAAGCAUCAAAUCUAUGCAGUGUAAAUAUUACGUAUAUAAAUGAAAGUAACUUUUGCAA